AGUAACGCAUGGGAACGUACCUUUUGGUUGGGAAUAACCACGGGAAACUGUGGCUAAUACCGAAUAAUCUCGCAAGAGGAAAGAUGGCCUCUACUUGUAAGCUGUCGCCGAUAGAUCGGCCCAUGUCCCAUUAGCUUGUUGGUGAGGUAAAGGCUCACCAAGGCAACGAUGGGUAGCUGGUCUGAGAGGAUGAUCAGCCACACUGGAACUGAGACACGGUCCAGACUCC
rnacentral:rRNA from 1 species